UACGGAGGGGGCUAGCGUUGUUCGGAAUUACUGGGCGUAAAGCGCACGUAGGCGGCUUUGUAAGUUAGAGGUGAAAGCCCAGGGCUCAACCCUGGAAUUGCCUUUAAGACUGCAUCGCUUGAAUCAUGGAGAGGUGAGUGGAAUUCCGAGUGUAGAGGUGAAAUUCGUAGAUAUUCGGAAGAACACCAGUGGCGAAGGCGACUCACUGGACAUGUAUUGACGCUGAGGUGGCGAAAGCGUGGGGAGCAAACAGG
rnacentral:rRNA from 1 species